UUGGCGCCUGUUAGUCAUUUGAAGCUUUGUGGAUAUCCGCUGUGUUGCUUGCAGUCUGUAGUAUAAGAGUGGCAGCCAUUAUCGUUCUUCAUCUUACGUCUAUCUGAAGUAGUAGGGUCGGGUCACUUGUCCACUGUAAACUGCAAAUUUAAGGAAUUUAAAAUGAGCCACCAUAGAGAAUGGGAUUUGUCAUGUAAAGUAUACGUGGGUAAUCUAGGAAAUAAUGCUUCAAAAAAUGAACUGGAAGAUGUCUUUUCAAAAUAUGGUCCUCUUAGAAAUGUAUGGGUUGCACGAAAUCCACCUGGUUUUGCCUUUGUUGAAUUUGAAGACCCACGUGAUGCUGAAGAUGCUGUACGAGGUUUGGAUGGGACCCGCUGCUGUGGCACACAUAUAAUUGUGGAGAUGUCCAAUGGACGCUCUCGUCGGUCAGGUGGUGGUGGAGGACGCAGGCGGUCUCCCCCGAUUCGCCGUUCCAGGGCGCCGCAAAUCCAUUCUGCUUGCACUUUACUUCAAUCACCACCAUUGUUGAGACUACCAACAUGAGAGUCAUCCUACCAACCACAACUUUCUUAAGCUAAGCCCCUCAACCAACCCUGCCCAACCAACACACCAACCAUCACACCACGCUCUACUUGCUCUGGUCACCCAGAAGGCGCUCUGCUUCUCGCUCACGCUCACGCAGUCCACCUCCUCGCCGUUCCCGCUCUUACUCCAGGGAUCGCCGUUAGUAAGGUGGAAAAAACUUUUGUGUUUCUGAACACAUCUUCUUACAUCCCAUGCAAGAUUUUAAGUCUAGGAAUAGUACGUCCAUUGGUCAAUUUAAAGAUUAUUUUUGUUAAUAAUGGAAGUAAUGUUCAGUUUUAAUCAAAUAAAUAAAUUAGCUUCAAUAA